rnacentral:tRNA from 1 species
UAAGACCUGCGAAACUUUAAUUCACAUCUUCUGAAUGCAACCCAAACACCUUUAUUAGGCUAAGAUCUUG